UACAGAGGUCCCGAGCGUUGUUCGGAUUUAUUGGGCGUAAAGGGUGCGUAGGUGGCAAAGUAAGUUGGAUGUGAAAUCCUGGGGCUCAACCUCAGAAUUGCAUUCAAUACUGCUUAGCUAGAGAGCUGUAGAGGAGACUGGAAUUUACGGUGUAGCAGUGAAAUGCGUAGAUAUCUGGAGGAACACCGGUGGCGAAGGCGGCAUCCUGGACCAACACUGACACUGAGGAGCGAAAGCCAGGGGAGCAAACCGGGG
rnacentral:rRNA from 1 species